UGUAAGUAUGUUGUAUAUAUUUUGAGAUAUUAAAGCAGACAAACAGCACAACUACGGAAUAAUCUUUUAAUUUAGUUAUUAGUAGCUAAAUGUUUGCUAGCAUCUCACUCACCAGACGGACGUUCUCCAAACGGUCGUGUUUAGCAUGGACGGCGAAUUGACCAAUCAGAGGAGAGCACUCUACGGAACCUGCGUAAGGACAAACACCGAAAAAGGCGCAGCGGUGCAGAAUGUGUGAGGAGACAACCGCACAAACUACAGACACCACAUUGGUCAAACAGAGGCGAAGACACUGCAGGAGUGCCAUGUUACAAGAGAAUUCCUGAGGCGAGCCAAUGGCCCGAUAAAUCUGCCGGAGCCUCUCUCUCAAUUUGUCUCCGUGGAAUGUCAGCUGGCAAGUGCCCAGACACUGAGAACCUCUUUUCACAAUGCGCCAAUCUAACAGACGAGAUCCCAUGUUGGAGCUACAGUACAAGGACUGGCAUGGAUAAAUUGCCACAUGCCUUAUCUAUGUCUCUUUAUGUCUAACUGUCUGAGGUCCUGCUCCUUACACGGCCUCCAAAGGCCACUUCCUCACAGACCUGACAGUGAACCUAAAUGGCUGAGUGGGUGACGUUGACAAAAUACAGGUGUCACAAAAGAGGAACCUGUGAUAUGACACAGAUGCUGUGUCAACCCGUCUUACUCCAUAUGACCCGCAGUGUGAACAGAAAUUGUUCUGUUUGGUGUCAUUCAUCACUGUGUGGCUCAGUCUCCCACAUAGCUCGGUCCAGGUGGCGGAAUGGCAGAGUGGGAGAACAGACUAUGUUUGUGUGAAGAUGCAACAACUAUCUCUCCCUUUUUCUUUCUCUCUCAUUCCCUGCCUCCCUCCCCUUCCUCCCUCCCUCCUUCCCCUCUCUCUCUCCCUGUUCAAGCACUCUAUUUAAAGGUUGUAGGUUAGCAAACAACAAGAUGCCUUCCCACCUGUACCCCUAAGUGAGUCAUGAAUGAAUUCAUCCGCUUAUUUAUGUACAGUAUUUGCAGUAAAAAAAAAUACAUGCGUACAUACAGAUAGACUGGAAUAAAGGCUUGUUGCUUAUUAAUAAUUUAAAUAAAGUUUUUGUCGCUGGUCUGAGUGACUUACAGAA